CCAGCCGAACUGUAUCUGCAUUUUAACGGUGGGAGAAAAGACGCUAUAUGGCGAUGUGCUCCUCCCUCCACCCUGCCAACCUCAUCUGUCAGCCAUUAGUUAAUCAGGGCUGGUAACACAGAGCACAGAGAGCUGGCACAGCUCGUGGGACCAGAGGACAGCUUCACCUCUGAGAGCAAGAAGAGGGCAAGGACUCAGGGACCUCUGCUUCACCGAUCUACAGCUGGGCUGCUUCACUCAGCAGCACCCACUCAGGACUGGCAGGCGUCAACCUCAAGAUGACCCCACCCACUGCAUUACUGUGAACAGCACCUCAGACUCAACGAGGAGGAUCCUUGAGUAGACCCACCGGUUCUCAUCAAAGGUUGACACUUGAACAAGAGAAGAAGCCACGGCCGAAUUGAAACAUUAACUCCCGACUCAGAUUUAGAUUAAAGCCACGACAAUAAGCACGCCGGUGAGGACGAGGGAGGGGACCUUCCAGCCACCGCUUCAAUUGCUAACACUUCACUUGGUCUGGAAACACAAGUCCAAUGAUGUCACGACCAACUGACCCCAGGGCGACAGGUUUGGAGAGUGUUCUUGUCCACUUCCCUCAGGCCAAAGUCAAGUAUGUCAAUGUUGUGCAUGUGGAUUUCAUUUGAAGCAGCAUGAUUAGUUCACAGACGCUCAACUGCGAUCCCCCUCCAUGGGAAACCCACCCUCGACAGGAAACGCUAUGUUUUUGUUAGCAACAAACAGACAUAAAUUACCAAAAUUGUGCGUUGGUUGCCAAUUUAUCACACACAGCCGUAUUGUUGCUGCUUGACGUCGACACAGCUUUUAAGGUCAUUAGCAUUAGUUAAUGAUAUUUACAUUCCUGAUAGUUUGUGUUGAACUGUGUCUGCAAUCAUACCUUUGUGCAAUA